GGGGAAUUUUCCGCAAUGGGCGAAAGCCUGACGGAGCAAUACCGCGUGAGGGAGGAAGGCUCUUGGGUUGUAAACCUCUUUUCUCAGGGAAUAAGAANCUGAAGGUACCUGAGGAAUCAGCAUCGGCUAACUCCGUGCCAGCAGCCGCGGUAAUANCGGAGGAUGCAAGCGUUAUCCGGAAUGAUUGGGCGUAAAGCGUCCGCAGGUGGUUUAUCAAGUCUGCUGUCAAAGAGUUUGGCUCAACCAAAUAAAGGCAGUGGAAACUGACAGANCUGGAGUGCGGUAAGGGCAGAGGGAAUUCCUGGUGUAGCGGUGAAAUGCGUAGAGAUCAGGAAGAACACCGGUGGCGAAAGCGCUCUGCUGGGCCGUAACUGACACUGAGGGACGAAAGCUAGGGGAGCGAAUGGGAUUAGAUACCCCAGUAGUC
rnacentral:rRNA from 1 species